UUUAAACAAAAAAAUAUCAGCAGGUUUGCCUCUGCCUUCACCUGCCCGGCGUGGCGGAGCCGUACCUGCUCCGUGCCGCCGCGGCGCUGCCAAGCCCUGCCCUCCGCGCCGGCACCACGGCUCCCCAUUCGGAACUGGGAGCCGCAGAGCUGGGAAGACACCUGAUGCAAAGAGAGGGGGCAGCCACCUUCCAUCAGCGAGCUGGGUGCCACCACCAGGGACCUUCCACCAGGACCUUCCUCCGGGACUAGGAACCAGACCUUUCCUCAAAAUCUUCCCACGGGACCUUCCUGACUGUCACACUGCAGUUCUCCCAAGUGCUCCAUCCACACGGACCUUGUGCUGUGUGGCUCCCACAGCCGUUUUUGCUUCUGUUUGCUCCAGAGCUGUAUGUGCUGCCAACGCUAAACCUUCGCACGAGAGCUGAACUCUGCAGGAUACCAGGACUCUGCUGACAGACCUGUCCAGGACCCCAAGUUUCCCAGCCCUUGCAAAACCCAGAGCCAAGGAAGCACGGGACAUGGACAGCUCAGACACUUAAGAACGAGUUCAUCAGAGGCUGUGAACAAAUGGUCGGUAGUUAAGACCCCCAGCAAACACUGAGUUUGCUGCAUGCAGCCCAGGGAGUCCGGAGGGGACGGGGUUGGGGUGAGCGGGCUGUCCCUGCUGUGUGCAUUACACUGUGCAUUACACAUGCAGCACGCCUUUGGUCUGCUGACAGCAGGAGAAGGAGCCCACAGGAUGCAGCCUCACCCUGACUCCUGCCUCAGGAAGCUGGACCACGAUGGACUUCCAGGUUUGGCACAGGCCAUUCUGCUAAGGCUGAGUGUCCUCACAGGGAUCCACACCAGGUGCUUCCUGACCUGUCCACAGUGGACAUGGAGAGCAGCUUCUUCCUUGCCGCUUUGAAGCAGUCUUUGUCUGCCACAGAGGGGACAGCAGCUGGUUCUGGGGAUGGUUCAUGCAGUCUUUGACCUGGUGUGGGACAGGGAUGGAUGGACCCCCAGCCAGAGGGGCUGUGGCAAGAGGAGUGGGGUGAGCUGCCGGGGUCUGCCCUGCACUCCUUGGACUGUGGUUUUAUUCCUCUUCCUGCUUCUCUCACCCAAAUGUGCAGGGUUGGGGCACCCGCUCCCCUCUCUGGGCUCCUCACCAGCCAGGGGACAGCUGAGUCCAGACACUCCUCUCCAGGCAUCCCCAGGCACUCCACCGGGUCUCCAGGAUCCCCAUCAAACCAUCAGCACACAAAGCAGAGCUCUCCCUUUUGAUUUAAUAAGUAUCUGGAAAUGUCAUAAAAGACGUGAUAAUAAAAUAUCAGAUGCAGGAAAA